rnacentral:lncRNA from 1 species
AAGGGGAACAUCCAAAGAGGACAGUAUAUUGCCUUAGAACAUUUAGAAAUUUGAUAGAUUGCUUGAUCUUUACUGUAGUUUUUAAAUUACUGGUUGAAUAAAAAGGAAUGUUAUUUUCUGCAAGUAAGAAUGCUAUUAAUUAUACUGCAUUGGACUUUUUUUAUAGAGACAUAUGCACACAAAUCUUUAAAGUAUUUUAAGGUACUGACCCAGCAGUCCAAGCACCAUCUGGUUUUGUGGAUGGGAGUUUUCAUAAAAGUCUUAAAAAAAUCAGUUUGAAAUAUAUAUGUAUGUUUAUCA